ACAUCGGUAGCAUAGUGGCCAGUGCAGUCUGCCGGAGACAGGAAGACGCGGGUUCAAUUCCCGUCCGAUGUC
rfam:Nippostrongylus brasiliensis genome assembly, scaffold: NBR_contig0000141